rnacentral:rRNA from 1 species
AUUGAACGCUGGCGGCAGGCUUAACACAUGCAAGUCGAACGAGUGGCGGGCGGGUGAGUAAUGUCUGGGAACCUGCCUGAUGGAUGGGGAUAACGACGGGAAACUGUAGCUAAUACCGCGUACCAUAGGAUGAGCCCCCGGGGGCUUAGGUAGUUGGUGGGGUAAGGGCUGACCAAGGCGACGAUCCCUAGCUGGUCUGAGAGGAUGACCGGCCACACUGGGACUGAGACACGGCCCAGACUCCUACGGGAGGCAGCAGGGGGGAAUAUUCGGCAAUGGGGGAAAGCCUGACGCAGCCAUGCCGCGUGAGUGAAGAAGGCUUUCGGGUUGUAAAGUUCUGUUGGUGACGAGGCGGUAUUUACAGAGGAAGCACCGGCUAACUCCGUGCCAGCAGCCGCGGUAAUUC